rnacentral:lncRNA from 1 species
UGGCAAUCCUAAAUGCCCUGUAGCCUCCUGCUUAUAAGUGUGGUACACGACACACCCAUAAACAAGACUCUACUAGACGCGGCCUGUAGACUCCCUAGAACAGAACUGCUCGGAUACCACUUUUGUCACGACCCAAACCGAUGGGUCGCGACGGGUACCCGGUACCUUACUCAACUGAGUACCAACGUAACAUAUAUUUCUUAUACAUCAUCAUAUACACAUGACAUACGGGCCUAAUAGCCCAACAUGAUCCUUUAUAAACUCAAAACAUAGGCCAACAAGGUUGUACAAUCUUUUAUGUACACGACAUAUAUCUACAAGCCUCUAAGAAUACAUAAAUGUCAUAAAGGUCGGGACAGAGUCCCGCCAUACAAACAAGACACGUCUAAAUCAUACUAACCAAACGAGCAACUCCGAAGCAACUGGAGCGCAUCAACAUCUUCCGCUGAGCUGAUAGCCUACUUGGAGGGCUCUCGACCUGUCUAUAAGGACCUGCGGGCAUGAAACGCAGCGUCCCCAGGCAAAAGGGAUGUCAGUACAAAUAAUGUGCCUAGUAUGUAAGGUACAUAAAUAAAUACAUAAGGUACAUGGAAGACAUAUAGAGUACAUGACUCAACCUGUAAGUCUGAAUAACUUUGUAAAUUAUAAAUUACUUUUAGCGUCAUGUGUAUGCGUAUGAAUGUCAAGUCAUGCAUAGGUACAUGAUUCAUAACAUCAUUAGCCUCUAAGGGCAUCCCAUGAUAUCAUAUCGGCCACUGUGGGCAAAAUCAUCAUCGUAUACUAGCCGAUCAGGUGUUGGUGCAUAUAUAACGCCAUAACCUUUCCCAUAUCCCAUAUACAUAUAUAUAUCCAUACAUAUAUACACGUAUAUAAUGCCAUUUGAAUCAUAUUUAAAUAUAUACGCGUAUAUAACAUCGUUUGAAUCAUAUUUCAGCCACUGUGGGUAACAUUACCAUCAUAUACCAGCUGAUCAGGUGGUGGUGAGUAUAUAACACCGUAACCUUUUCCAUAUCCCAUAUACAUAUAUAUACAUACAUAUAUAUACGUAUAUAACACCAUCUGGUCAUGGGUCAAUGCACAUGAAUGCAAUGCAUGAAACGUACGUUAAUAAAAUCUUUCGGAGCUUCAUAAGACCAUUUUGUGUUUGAGUAAUAUCAUAAAGUAAACUCUUUUCAACUUUCAUAUUUUUCGGAGACCCAUGAACAAAUGAUAAAAUAUUAUGACACACGGAAAUUCAUGAACAUAGAUAUUUCUAAUACUUCUAUGAAUAGAAUCAUUCAUGGAAUUUGCGCAUUUUCACAUUUUGUUCGUAUAGUAUGGAUCAUGCCAAAAGAAAGAAGGGAUAGCCUUAACAUACCUGAACCGAUUCUCUUUUGCGAAAACAUGUAACGACGGAUUGAAGUAGAGAAAAUUCUGUAUGAUAUUCUUGAGAAAGAUUGUACCAGACUUUCUUUGAAUUAGCAUUUCAAAGAAACUCAGGACUGGUAUAAUUGCAGAGAGUUUCACCUUUUGGUCAUUGAAAUGCUUCAGGGAAUAUUCACGUUUUUGAGCAUGGAAGUGCAUUUGAUAUUUGUUAAAAAUUUUGUAAUGCUAUAGAGAGCUUUCACAUUUUUGGGCAUUUGAAGUUCAUUUGAUAUUCCCCAACGUGUACCAUCACAUUUUUUUCACGGUUUGUGCGUAUAACGUUCCAUACAGAUGCAGAUUAAACAUUUUCCUUGAGAGGAAACUACAUCCAUUUUGAUAAAAGGAAAAAGGAAAAAUUUUAAACAUGUAGAAGAGAUCACUAAACUAAAAACACAAC